CUUCACGACCACACCACUUACACCCACUGAAGCAGGAGCAAACGAGUAGCAGGAUGGUCAAGGGACUCCGCAAAGAGACGUUGAGAAGGAGUAAGGAGCAGAAGUGAACAAGAGACACAACAAGAAAGGACUGAACCUCUUGAGGAUCUCUGAAAAAUAACGGAAGUUUGCAUGGAACAAGAGACACAACAAUAAGUUGACAAAAUACAGCCAAAACGAAAUUGGAGCAAUCGUUGCAGGAUGGUCAAGGGACAAUGCAAAGAGAUGUCGAGAAGCAGUGAUGAGCAGAAGGGCACAAGAGACACAAGAGGAUGAUACCAAAAUACAGAUUGGAACAUGGUAGCACUUUUUUUAAAAUCAAAGGUUAAUCGUUUGAAAGUUAAU